UGCACUCACUACUGCAAGUCGCUCUGGAUAAGAGUGUCUGCUAAAUGACUAAAA
rfam:Salmo salar isolate Sally breed double haploid chromosome ssa14, whole genome shotgun sequence.